rnacentral:misc_RNA from 1 species
CAGGGCCAUCGGCUGGAACUCCUUACCGAACGAUAUUGAAAUGUGCAGUGUCCACACAGAUUGUCUGAUGAAAAAGUAACGAGCAGAGAAACCUUUAUAGGCUUGUAGCUCAGGUGGUUAGAGCGCACCCCUGAUAAGGGUGAGGUCGGUGGUUCAAGUCCACUCAGGCCUACCAAUUCCCUUGUCUGCUGCGUUGUCGCCCCGCUCGGUUGCCCCAACAAACCUCCCAUGACUCCUGCUUGGCUGAAAAAAAAUUGGAUCCCUCAUCAAUUGAUGACUCAAUAAGACUGGGUCUCUGCAUAACUGUAUGGGGCUAUAGCCUGCCUGGGACAGCGCCUGCCUUGCACGCGAUACGUCAGCGGUCCAAUCCCUCUUACCUCCACCAUAUCUGCCCUGUAUUUAUUAUACUUCAGAGUAUAUUGGCGACUUUAUGCUGCGAACUAUUUUGCUCUUUAACAAUCUGGAACUGAUUGAAAAUUGAAAUGAUGAAUAAUCGAAAGAUUAUUCCCGAGUCUCUAUGAAGCGAAACAUCCGAUGAUGGAAACAUCUUCUGACUGUGAGGUUAAGUGACUAGCCUUGGCAGUGGAUGCCUUGGCA